CCUGGUUGAUCCUGCCAGUAGUGAUAUGCUUGUCUCAAAGAUUAAGCCAUGCAUGUGUAAGUAUAAACUAAUUCAGACUGUGAAACUGCGAAUGGCUCAUUAAAUUAGUUAUAGUUUGUUUGAUGGUACCUACUACUUAGAUAACCAUAGUAAUUCUAGAGCUAAUACCUGCAACAAACCCCAACUUCUAGAAGGGAUGCAUUUAUUAGAUAAAAGGUCGACACGAGCUCUGCUUGUUGCUGUGAUGAUCCAUGGUAACUCAACGGAUCGCACGGCCCUCGUGCCGGUGGUGCAUCAUUAAAAUUUCUACCCUAUCAACUUUCGAUGGUAGGAUAGUGGCCUACCAUGGUGGUGACGGGUGACGGAGAAUUAGGGUUUGAUUCCAGAGAGGGAGCCUGAGAAAUGGCUACCACAUCCAAGGAAGGUGCGCAAAUUACCCAAUCCUUAGACGGGGAGGUAGUGACAAUAAAUAAUAAUUCCGGGCUCUUUGAGUCUAGUAAUUGGAAUGAGUACAAUCUAAAUCCAUUAACGAGGAUCCAUUGGAGGGCAAGUCUAAUGCCAGCAGCCGCAGUAAUUCCAGCUCCAAUAGCAUAUAUUUAAGUUGUUGCAGUUAAAAAGCUCGCAUUUAGACUUUGGGUUGGGUCGGCCGGUCCGCCAUCCGGUGUGCACCGGUUGUCUCAUCCCUUCUGCCAGCGAUGCACUCCUGGUCUUAACUGGCCAGGUCGUGCCUCUGGUGCUGUUACUUUGAAGAAAUAAGAGUGCUCAAAGCAAGCCUACGCUCUGGAUACAUUAGCAUGGGAUAACAUUAUAGGAUUUUGUUCCUAUUACAUUGGCCUUCGAGAUCGGAGUAAUGAUUAAUAGAGACAAUCGGGGGCAUUCGUAUUUCAUAGUCAGAGGUGAAAUUCUUGGAAUUAUGAAAGAUGAACAACUGCGAAAGCAUUUGCCAAGGAUGUUUUCAUUAAUCAAGAACGAAAGUUGGGGGCUCAAAGACGAUCAGAUACCGUCCUAGUCUCAACCAUAAAUGAUGCCGACCAGGAAUCGGCGGAUGUUGCUUAAAGGACUCUGCAGGCACUUUAUGAGAAAUCAAAGUCUUUGGGUUCCAGGGGGAGUAUGGUCGUAAGCCUUAAACUUAAAGGAAUUGAAAAAAGGGCACACCAGGAGUGGAGCCUGCGGCUUAAUUUGACUCAACAUGGGGAAACUUAUGAGGUCCAGACAUAGUAAGGAUAGACAAACUAUGAGCUUUUUUUUAUUCUAUGGGUGGUGGUGCAUGGCUGUUCUUAGUUGGUGGAGCGAUUUGUCUAGUUAAUUCCGUUAACCUCAUCCUACUAACUAGCUAUGCGGAGGUAUCCCUCCGCGGCCAGCUUCUUAGAGGGACUACGGCCUUUUAGGCUGUGGAAGUUUGAGGCAAUAACAGGUCUGUGAUGCCCUCUGAUGUUCUAGGCUGCAAGCGCGCUACACUGAUGUAUUCAACGAGUUUAUAGCCUUGACCGAAAGGCUCGGAUAAUUUUUGAAAUUUCAUUGUGAUGGGGAUAGAUCAUUGCAAUUGUUGGUCUUCAACGAGGAAUUCCUAGUAAGCACGAGUCAUCCGCUCACGUUGACUACAUCCCUGCCCUUUGUACACACCGCCCAUCACUCCUACCGAUUGAAUGGUCCAGUGAAGUGUUCGGAUCGAGACGACAUGGGCAGUUCGCCGCCCACGACGUAGCGAGAAGUCCACUGAACCUUAUCAUUUAGAGAAAGGAGAAGUCGUAAUAAGGUUUCCGUAGUUGAACCUCUAGAAG
rnacentral:rRNA from 1 species